GGGACUGAGAAAUACGGCGGCCAUCUUAAACCGGUCGUUCUCCUAGUUUCGUUGCAUAGCAGCAGAUAAGAUGUCAGAGCACUGUGGAGCAUUUUCCUGUUCUAAUCGGCGGACGAUCGCAAAUAGAGCCCGGAGGAUUAUUUUCACAAGUACUUUUUAACAUCGCGGUACUAUUGGUUGUAUUUUGUGAAUAGAAUAUUAACAGAAAAUUGAGAAAGAGCCAGCUUAUUGAUUUUACUGUACUGAAAUCGUAGCCAGCUAACGUUCGCUAGGCUAUGUUUACUGCACCAGCCGCUGUUCACCCUGCAAGGAGAGUGGGGUGCUGUGAGCUGCGUGAUCCGCCGAGCUUUAAAAAGCUAAGAUGUCAACAGGAACAGAGGAUGUUUUCCUUUGUAGGGAGGACAUUGAGGAGACUCGGUUUGGAAUCGACAACUAUCAGUCUGACUCGUUGUCACUGGUUGUGUCUGUGUUUUUAAAGAUAAGGCUCCACCAUGUUGCCAAACUCACAUCUCUUGAACUACAGAAAGGGAGCACGGGAAAGAAGCUCUGGAAAACAGUCCUCUUUCAGGGGUGUGUGUGUGUAUGUGUGCGUGCGUGCGUGCGCGCGCGUGUGUGGGGGGGUUUACAAAUCAUUUUAAAUUGUUUCUUCACCAUAUUAAAAAGUCUUAUUUUAUUGCAACUAUCUGUUUCUGCAUCUUUGUCAUAUUUAUAGUGUGUGAUUUAUAAAAUAUCUUAUGUCCUACACCA